rnacentral:rRNA from 1 species
AGAGUUUGAUCCUGGCUCAGGAUGAACCCUGGCGGCAUCCUUAACACAUGCAAGUCGAACGGCCAGCACGGGAGCAAUCCUGGCUGGCGAGUGGCGAACGGGUGAGUAAUAUAUCGGAACGUGCCCAGUAGUGGGGGAUAGCCCGGCGAAAGCCGGAUUAAUACCGCAUACGACCUGAGGGUGAAAGCGGGGGAUCGCAAGACCUCGCGCUAUUGGAGCGGCCGAUAUCAGAUUAGCUAGUUGGUGGGGUAAAGGCCUACCAAGGCUACGAUCUGUAGUUGGUCUGAGAGGACGACCAGCCACACUGGGACUGAGACACGGCCCAGACUCCUACGGGAGGCAGCAGUGGGGAAUUUUGGACAAUGGGCGAAAGCCUGAUCCAGCAAUGCCGCGUGCAGGAAGAAGGCCUUCGGGUUGUAAACUGCUUUUGUCAGGGAAGAAAUCUUCUGGGCUAAUACCCCGGGAGGAUGACCGUACCUGAAGAAUAAGCACCCGGCUAACUACGUGCCAGCAGCCGCGGUAAUACGUAGGGUGCGAGCGUUAAUCGGAAUUACUGGGCGUAAAGCGUGCGCAGGCGGCUUUGCAAGACAGAUGUGAAAUCCCCGGGCUCAACCUGGGAACUGCAUUUGUGACUGCAAGGCUAGAGUACGGCAGAGGGGGAUGGAAUUCCGCGUGUAGCAGUGAAAUGCGUAGAUAUGCGGAGGAACACCAAUGGCGAAGGCAAUCCCCUGGGCCUGUACUGACGCUCAUGCACGAAAGCGUGGGGAGCAACAGGAUUAGAUACCCCUGGUAGUCCACGCCCUAAACGAUGUCAACUGGUUGUUGGACGGCUUGCUGUUCAGUAACGAAGCUAACGCGUGAAGUUGUCCGCCUGGGGAGUAGCGCCGCAAGGCUAAACUCAAAGGAAUUGACGG